GUAGGUGGCAAGCGUUGUCCGGAAUUAUUGGGCGUAAAGCGCGCGCAGGGCGGUUCUUUAAGUCUGAUGUGAAAGCCCACGGCUCAACCGUGGAGGGUCAUUGGAAACUGGAGAACUUGAGUACAGAAGAGGAAAGCGGAAUUCCACGUGUAGCGGUGAAAUUCGUAGAGAUGUGGAGGAACACCAGUGGCGAAGGCGGCUUUCUGGUCUGUAACUGACGCUGAGGCGCGAAAGCGUGGGGAGCAAACGGGAUUAGAUACCCUGGUAGUCCACGCCGUAAACGAUGAGUGCUAAGUGUUAGGGGGUUUCCGCCCCUUAGUGCUGCAGCUAACGCAUUAAGCACUCCGCCUGGGGAGUACGGCCGCAAGGCUG
rnacentral:rRNA from 1 species